CAGCAUGUUGUGCCAGCCAACCAAAUGGAAGGGGCCCAGCUUGGAUCACCUCAUCCUUCGUGGUUACAGCAUAUCUAGCAUGACAAACCCCAUGUUCCAUGAAACCGCUCCCAUCUGUGAACAGAACGAGUGAAAAUGUCCAACAUCUUUCUUCUGGCUUUCAGAAGCAUAGCACACCAUUGUCCUCCAUGGUCGCCCUGCUGUCCUUGCUACACCAGGCAACCGGGAGAAUGGCCAGAAAGUGAAGUCUUUGCACCCUGAGGCUAAUAUCACAUUGCUCUGCGGAGAUGGAUUCAGCCCAGAUUUUCCCCACUAACACAUAAUGAGAUUGAAAAGAGAAAAGUCUUGGUGACUCGCUGAAGAUCCAGUGGGCAGUUACUGAAGGAUUCAAAUCUGUAAAGGAGUCUUCUAACGUCAAGAUGAAAGAAAUGAGCCUCAAAAGUGAAAUAAAUGACCGACUGACAACCCGGAGCUGCUGGAUGGGGAGUCUGAGCCCAGGACCCAGGGCUGAUUGGCUCCAACACCCUGUCUGCCCUCACAGCAUUCUCUCAGCCCCAGAAGAGAAAGUCUGUAGUCGUGUGCAAUUCUCUUGUCACUUUGCUAUCAUAUAUGAGACUAAAUAGCAGAAGGCUGGCUUUCCCGAAGGAGUGUGGGAUUUGACUUCACACAGGCCUGUAGUUCCCAUGGAUCAAAGACACAUGCAUGUGGAGCCAUGCUUUCAAUUCUAGGUGCUUCCACAAUGAAAGGAUGAAUUGGGGUCAGUGGUCCCCACAACAUCUUCUGGCCUAACAGGAAAGAGAAACGUAAAAAGUGCUUUUGAAAAGACAGAGUAAGUGAGCUAGAUUGUUGUACGUGUGGAAGAACCAUUGUUUUUUACUGUAAGUAGUACAAAAGAUAUUAAUGACUCCGUGUACCUGGUAGUGGGGAUGAAGCCCAGUAGAUCCAUUAUGCAGCUUAAUUUAAGGGUCAUUCGCUGUCAUGUCGAUUCCGGCUGUAUGAAACAUCUGUUGGUCUCCCCCGUGGAGAAUGUAGUCUGAUGUCUCUUUGCAUUUGGUGUCAAACUGGCUCUGAAGCAUGAGACACAUGGACCCAGUUGCUCCAAGGCAUGAGUUAAGGCCAGCGGACACUGAAGGGUUAAGUGCCAUUUUGACAGUGCAAACAUACAUAGGAUUGAACAGUGACUUCAUUUGUGUCACUGGAGUGGUUUCUUCUGAUGUGGUGGCUCCUCCAAGACCUAAAACAAAACCAGAUACACACAAACAGAAACUAAAUGAUCCUUCCCCCAAAGGAUGGAAGGACAAUCGUCCACAAAACCAUUAAGAAAACAUAACCACUGACAGGAGUAUGUGUGGUGCUUUGAUUUGUAAUAGUGGAUCCUUAUAUACCUGAUAAUUUAGUUCAAAUGGGGCACAAAAAAACAAUUCUUUUAUCAGAGCCUUACCAGUGGCAUUGUUAUAAAGGACAUGCUGCCCUGGGAAGGGAAAUUUUGUCCCAUUCAAACACAUUCUGAAUAUCUCAAAAAAUAC
rnacentral:lncRNA from 1 species